UACGUAGGCAGCAAGCGUUGUUCGGAAUUACUGGGCGUAAAGAGUGUGUAGGCGGUGCUCUAAGUUCGGUGUGAAAUCUCCCGCUUAACUGGGAGGGUGCGCCGGAAACUGGAGUGCUCGAGCGUGGGAGAGGAAAGCGGAAUUCCUGGUGUAGCGGUGAAAUGCGUAGAUAUCAGGAGGAACACCUGCGGUGUAGACGGCUUACUGGACCAUAACUGACGCUGAGGCACGAAAGCGUGGGUAGCAAACAGG
rnacentral:rRNA from 1 species